rnacentral:rRNA from 1 species
GACGAACGCUGGCGGCGUGCUUAACACAUGCAAGUCGAGCGAUGAAGCACCUUCGGGUGUGAAUUAGCGGCGAACGGGUGAGGAACACGUGAAGAAUCUGCCUUCAACUCUGGGAUAACUCCGGGAAACCGGGGCUAAUACCGGAUAUGAGCCUUGAUCGCAUGAUCGAGGCUGGAAAGUUUUUCGGUUGAAGAUGACUUCGCGGCCUAUCAGCUUGUUGGUGAGGUAAUGGCUCACCAAGGCGACGACGGGUAGCCGGCCUGAGAGGGCGACCGGCCACACUGGGACUGAGACACGGCCCAGACUCCUACGGGAGGCAGCAGUUGGGAAUAUUGGGCAAUGGAGGAAACUCUGACCCAGCGACGCCGCGUGAGGGAUGAAGGCCUUCGGGUUGUAAACCUCUUUCAGUAGGGAAGAAGCGAAAGUGACGGUACCUACAGAAGAAGCACCGGCUAACUAUGUGCCAGCAGCCGCGGUAA